AUGGCCUGGACUGCUCUCCUGCUCGUGCUCCUCUUUCACUGCACAGGGUCCCUCUCCCAGCCUGUGCUGACUCAGGAGCCCUCGGUCUCUGCAUCUCCUGGAUCAACAGCCAGACUCACCUGCACCCUGAGCAGUGGUUUCAGUGUUGGCAACUAUAGAAUAUACUGGUACCAGCAGAAGACUGGGAACUCUCCCAGGUAUCUCCUGUCUUACCACACAAGUACACAGUUGGGAUCUGGAGUUUCUGAUCGCUUCUCUGGAUCCAAAGACACCUCAGCCAAUGCUGGACUCCUGCACAUCUCUGGGCUGCAGCCUGAGGAUGAGGCUGACUAUUACUGUAUGAUUAAACAUAGUAAUGCUAGUCACAGUGACACAGGCAUAUGGGGAAGUGGUACAAAAACUUUCAUCUGUUUUGAAACUCAGAUAAUGACCCUGUUCCAAUUCAAAGCUAUAUUCAAAGCAUAUAACAACCCAGUUAAGAGCUCUUGUUCUAAAGAACACAGCAGCAAAUGCACGUCCAUCAUCUACAUCACUGAUAUACCAGCAGUAGAUGGAUGA